AGAUAGGUUAAAAAAAAAAAAAGCAUCCUCGCCCUGCUCCGCCUCCCCUGCGAUAGCGGCCGACGCGGGCUCCGCCUCCCCUGCCAUAGUCGCCGACGAGGGCUCUACCUCCCCUGCGUUUCAGCUGUUCAACGUUUUUCCACUCUGCGCCCAUCGCCGGUAGGUUUUUCUUUUUAUCUUAUUUUUUACUUUCUUGGUUGUAAUUCUAGUUUUCUAUGUGUGUAUGUCUCCGCUUCCACCCCUACUGACGAAUCCGACGGAUGUACUGGUCUCCUUCCGCUGCAGCAAUGUCGUUGUUUGUGGUGAGAAAACAAGAAGAGAAUAUGCAAUCUCAUUACAGAAACUUUCCAGAUAAAUACCUUUCUUUGGAAUUAACCUUUCAAAGGAUAUCCCUGAUCGAACUCUUGAUAGUCAGCCUUGUUGUGAGGGUUUUUUUUUUUGCCCUCGAGGUCUCACUUGCAUGAUACGACUUGCUUUAUACAAGUUAGCUUCAUUGUUUUUGUUGAAUGAAUUUAAGGAUGGCACAGUUAAUUGA